UGGGGAAUAUUGGGCAAUGGGCGCAAGCCUGACCCAGCAACGCCGCGUGAGGGAAGAAGGCUUUCGGGUUGUAAACCUCUGUCCUUGGUGACGAAAAAAAUGACGGUAGCCAAGGAGGAAGCCCCGGCUAACUACGUGCCAGCAGCCGCGGUAAUACGUAGGGGGCGAGCGUUGUCCGGAAUUACUGGGCGUAAAGGGUGCGUAGGUGGCCUUUUAAGUUGGAUGUGAAAUCCCCGAGCUUAACUUGGGUGGUGCAUCUAAUACUGGAGGGCUAGAGUGCAGGAGAGGGAAGCGGAAUUCCUAGUGUAGCGGUGAAAUGCGUAGAUAUUAGGAGGAACACCAGUGGCGAAGGCGGCUUUCUGGACUGUAACUGACACUGAGGCACGAAAGCGUGGGGAGCAAACA
rnacentral:rRNA from 1 species